rnacentral:rRNA from 1 species
UACGUAGGGGGCUAGCGUUGUCCGGAAUCAUUGGGCGUAAAGAGCGUGUAGGCGGUCCGGUAAGUCCGCUGUGAAAGUCGGGGGCUCAACCCUCGAAUGCCGGUGGAUACUGUCGGGCUAGAGUGCGGAAGAGGCGAGUGGAAUUCCUGGUGUAGCGGUGAAAUGCGCAGAUAUCAGGAGGAACACCUAUUGCGAAGGCAGCUCGCUGGGACGUAACUGACGCUGAGGUGCGAAAGCUAGGGGAGCGAACGGG